AACUCUCCUCACAUCUAUUCUGGGCUGUGUCAACAUUCACAAGCCUCUCUAUAGCUUCUCUCUACAGCGUCUGCCAGCUUUUCUCUCUCUUUCUCUCUCUUUCUUUCUCUUUCAAACCUUUCUAUGGAACAUCUUAAAGAAUUCUGAAUGUUCUCGUCCACAUUUAUUUUUUCGUUCACGGAGGCCUUGACAGUUCCUUUGAAUUUGGAAGUUAUGCAAUUUUCAUUUGCGUAACCAAUCCCUUCGCACACACUCUCUGUCUCUGGAGCUUCCUCGGCGGGUGUAAUCCCAGACAGUGGAGCACCUGGGCCGCUUGUGGAAUUCCUCUCGCAGGGUGGAACAAUGCUCAGAGACCCGUUGUUCAGGAAACACUGUGGAGUGCCCCGGUUCCGGAGGGGUCUCUGAACCGAGGGUCGCUCUCUGAACUCUUUCUGUGAAAGUGUUUUCUGGUGCCGAAUGUGUGGUGAAGAACAACAAACAGGAGCCGUGUGCUGUGACAGAUGUCCCACGCUGAUAAACCCAUCAAAGAUCUUCCUCACGUGCAGUUAUGUAAUAUUUCCCACAACCGCACGUUCUCCUGCUACCUCUACUCAUUUCCCCACAGUACUAACACCACUUACACCACAGCGCUACUGAGUUCUGCGUUCUGAUUGGUCGGAUUUUCUACAACAGCAGCUCUGACAGUAGUGCAGCUGCAAAUCACAGGUUUGAAAUACGUUUCUAAAUCAUUUCUAUAGUAGCAGCUCAUUCACGGGGACUUGUACAGGGACACUGCACAUAAACGGAUUAAACGUGUGUAAUCGUUGAUAUGGUGAAGUUUUGUGUAAGAAGAUGUUUAUUUAUCAUUUAUGGAAGGAGUCUCCAGUGUCACUGCUUCGUGUGAAGUAAAGCUAUAACUUCAGGAGUUUACGCUUUGUAGUUUCUCUGUAACAUGACAAGCUGUUUGCGUUUUUCUGUCUUAUUAAGUUCAAGAGAGAAACGUGAGAUAAACGAUAAUACUUAAUAAAUAAAACAUUGUAAUCGUU